rnacentral:rRNA from 1 species
UACAGAGGGUGCAAGCGUUAAUCGGAAUUACUGGGCGUAAAGAGCGCGCAGGCGGUCGUUCAAGUCGCGUGUGAAAGCCCCCGGCUCAACUGGGGAGGGUCACGCGAUACUGAUCGACUCGAAGGCAGGAGAGGGUAGUGGAAUUCCCGGUGUAGCGGUGAAAUGCGCAGAUAUCGGGAAGAACACCCGUGGCGAAGGCGGCUCUCUGGGACGGUACUGACGCUGAGACGCGAAAGCGUGGGGAGCGAACAGG